UUUUAUGGGAGAAAUAUCAGGGUUUGAGGCUGGUUAUAAAAUCUGGGGAAAUUGCAGCCCAUGGAUGAUUUCAUGGAAGAAUUAUCAGGGUUUGAGGAUGGUGAUAAAGCCUUGGAAAACCUCAGCACCUGGAUGGUUUGAUUGAAGAAUAAUCAGGGUUUGAGGAUGAUUAUAAAAUCCUGGAGAACUGCAGCCCACGGAUGAUUUCAUGGAAGAAUUAUCAGGGUUUGAAGCUGAUUUAAAAUCUUGGAAUAUCGCAGCAGCUGGAUUUUAUUCUGAGGAAUAUCAGGGCCUGGGGUUGAUUUAUAAAUCUUGGAAAACUGCAGAGCACGGAUGGUUUUAUGGAAGAAAUAUCAAGGUUUGGGGCUGAGUUAAAAUCCUGGAGAACCGCAGAGCACGGAUGGUUUUAUGGAAGAAUUGUCACGGUUGAGGCUGAUUUCAAAAUCUUGGGAUGCUGCAGCAGUUGGAUUUUAUUUUAUUCUGGAUUUUAUCCAGAACUCGCUCCUGCCAUCUCAGUUUGUGUCCAGAAUCCUGAAACUGCCACGGAAAACAACCCAAAAAUCCCACGGGAGGGCAAGAAUGGGUUUUUUUUGGAGGUUUAGAGAGGCCCAGCUACAAGCAACAACCUCAGGAAGAAGAGGCAGCUGAAUGAAUCCCAUUUCUUUGCAAACCCACUGGGUUGCAUGACCUCAGAGUUCUUUCCCAGCCUGAACAACUCCAGGCCUCCAAGAUUCAUCCAGCUGGGAGCUUUUUAUUUCCUGGCUGAACCCCAGAUGGUCCUUUUGGGGUUCCCCCUGUAAAUCCCUUUGGAGAAAACCCUUCCAGUGCUGACCUCUGCAGGCCGAGGAGCUGCUUGGAACGCCGGGCAGCAAUAACCUGAAUAAUGCAUGAAGCAGGUGUUUUUACUGCCGCUGGCUGU